CUGGAUCUCUGGCCCUCUCGCUUGUUCAAGGCCUUGAACACCUGCUGGUGGCUGGAGCAAAACAGCCCAGGCAGGCGAAGGCGCGGCCAGCCCAGCAGAGAGAGCUAGAAUCAUUGGCAUUGCUAGCACGUGGGUACCAUUCUCUGCUGCUGCUGCUGCCCCGGCACUUCUCCCGCCUUGCGUUUCUCCCAAUGCGAUGUAGCAAGAGAGGGAGCAGGAGGCGCUUUUGCAGCGGGCGAUGAAAUCCUGGCAGCUAAUUGCAGUCGUGGGAGAUGCCCUUCAGGAUAUCAAAGGCGACUCCAAUAACUGCGCGCAGACAGAGGACAGAAAGUUCUAUGCUGGCACAUAAUAGAUCCAUGAGAU
rnacentral:lncRNA from 1 species